rnacentral:rRNA from 1 species
UACGAAGGGGGCUAGCGUUGCUCGGAAUCACUGGGCGUAAAGCGCACGUAGGUGGAUCGCUAAGUCAGGGGUGAAAUCCUGGAGCUCAACUCCAGAACUGCCUUUGAUACUGGCAAUCUCGAGUCCGGGAGAGGUGAGUGGAACUGCGAGUGUAGAGGUGAAAUUCGUAGAUAUUCGCAAGAACACCAGUGGCGAAGGCGGCUCACUGGCCCGGUA